rnacentral:lncRNA from 1 species
AUGUCAAUCAAUGAGGGAAUCGACUUCUCAAGUGCUACAGCAACUGACUCGGUGCAAAGAUGCUCUACUCCAAAACCUGCCACUAAUUCUACGGUAUUUGUUCUGUUUCAGCGUACUCUGGACUCAUUGUUAUUCCUGGAAGAGCCCUCACCUAAUGUUAUCAAGGGAAAAGCGACUUCACCCUUUGUACUAUGUUCUGUUAGUGGCUAUCAGUGUUCAGCGUUAGCUGAUACUGGGAGUGAGGUUACUUUGGUCAGCUCUGCCUUCUUCGACCAGCUGCAGGAAGCAACCAAAGCUCAGUUGCCCGUUCUCCCAGUAACUAAUCUCUACAUCAAAGGCGUGACUGGUGUGAAGUCAACUAAGGUCACUCGGCAGACGUAUCUCCAGAUCCAGUUUAAUGGUAAAAUAUCAUAAGAUUAUCUGGAAGAAGUUGGUUCUCAAUAGUGGAGAGGAACAAAUGCUGCUGUUAUUUGGUGUCAAUCAAUUCUGGUGCCCUUUUAAUUCUUUCUUGAGAAUGAUUUUUCCUCAAAAGGGACUCAUGCUGAUAUCUUGGCAACUAGUUAUGUAUUAAAAAAGUAUGAUGGUGGCACUUUCUCAACUCAUUUAUUGAACGUAAAUUUUCCAGAUUUGUUGUCUUUAAGUAAAGUCAUCCAUGAAGCAUGAGCUAAAAUUCGCUUUAGCUGUAAUUAAACAGUGGCAUGAGGGUGUAAUUAAAGCAUCUGAAAACAUCGUAAAUGUCUCUCCAAUGAACGCUUAAUUUAAGUACAUGCAUAAACAAUUUUGUUAGUUUAUGAAUUGGUCGGAACUCAAACAAUUUACCAUUCCCCAUUUCGAGUAUAUUUUGUCUGAAUUCUAUUUUAGUCUUUUCCAUAAGAAAGUUCUCUAAAGUAGGUUAAUUUGAAAAUCUGUAGUAGCAUCUUUCAACUGAUAGAGACUUCUUCAAGAGUUGCUGUUUUAAUAGUUGUAAUAUUUUCAUUCUUAUUAGCCUCAACUCAACUUUACAAUUGACAGGGUGUGUUGGGAAAAACUACAACAAUCUAAUGCAGCAUUCAUCUUUUGCACCAUGCCAAUCAGCUGUGCUUAAAUUUUUUAUCGCUGUAAACUGCAUCUUAUUUGAAAUAGGUCACCUCUAAGCCAGUCAAAUAAGCCAGACCAAAUACUAAACGCAGGAAAGUUCAGAGAUGUUGUUUUUUUUUUUCGCUGUUUUGUCCAGCCCCUGAACCCCCUAAAAACCAGUAGCUUUUCUCAACAAACCGUAGCAGUUAAUCUCAAACAAAAGAUGAAAGAAAAAACUUCAAUAGUUUGGAACCUAAAGUCGUAAGAUGCUAAACCUAUUUACCAUAAUGCUUAUGAGCGGCUGAUUUCACUUGAUUUAAAAUGACUCUGUUAUGAACGAGAUUAAUUAUAUUUUUUCAGCAACUCUUGUGCUGUAGUAUUAGUAUGUAAUUCUUAUGUUCAUUGAAAAAAAUCUCUUUAUGCUCCAAGCCACGAUGACAACACAUAAUUAUUUUCCCCAAGUUCAUUCCAUAGCAAUGUCACCUACCACUGUCUUUGUUGGAUCCUAUGAGAUGUUGGAUGAUGUAUUUUUGAUUUGUUAAAUUUUAUUAUUGAGGUAUCAUACAAUAUUGUUAAUGUUAAAUUAUAUGUUAAAAAAUUAUGUAAUUUUAUUUAAUUUGUGUUUCCCAAAUUCGAUUUUUUUUUUUUUUUGGAUGGGAGGAGGUGAGUAAAAAUUGAAGAGCAUUUUGUAGAAGGGUGGCUCUACAAGGUACUAUUUAUUGAAGAAAAUGGAAUUGAAAUUGUGUUGAUUUUGAUCACACUUAACCCUGUUGGGUAACAUUAAACCCGUUAGCUUCAAUCAACCUAUAUUGAACUGAAAAUUGACAAUAGUUUUAAUCGCUAACUUUUUGAGCUUUUCAAAACUUGAAGCAUUGGCGGAUCAAGAGGGGACGGUCACAGUGGUAUGCUGCCAUGCCAAGUUGAAAAUCAGUAAAUCCAUAAUUUGCCGCAAGUCCACUAAUGGACCCGUUUAGAAGGUACAAAUUAACACAUUCUGAUACAUGUCGUAACAAGAAUUUUACCUAGAACACGAUUCGCGCAACAGAAAUUGAUGAAACUAACUCUAAUUAAUCUGUUUAACAUUUUUUGAUGCAUGAAUUCAAACCUUGCGCUCAUGGAAAAAUUAAAGUCUAGUCAAGACAAAUUGCGCAGUAAGGGUUACUGUAACAGUCUCUGCAGUAUGAAAAGAUGGCAACCUUGAUUUUGGAUCUUCGGCUCAGCUAUGGCACGUUAACGCCUGAACAAUACAAGGCAGGAAGGAACAUGGCUUGAUUAAGAAGCCUGCCGAAACUGUUGUGGUAUGUGUGAUUUGAUUCAAGUAGACCAUUGUUUUUCUUGUGAGCGGGGAAUUCAAAAUUCUUGUAACCAAUGUAAACUAAAAACUUUGUUAUCUUAGUUUGGAGUUGAUUUCAGUAAGUCCCUUUGUGCAAGUUGUGUUUAACCUGUUUUGGUUAAAAGCCAUGUAUCAGAACGCUUCAAUUUUGCCUUGUUUACUGGUCCAUUACAAAAUAUAAUUCUGCUCGUUUCGAAGAAAGUAGUUCAAGAGGUUUCCACUGACCACCUGGGAUCAAUUCAUUUUUGAUGAUGACAAAUGAGGGGCGUGGAGUACAAGGCACAUAAGUGCAGUUUUUGCUAUUUCAAAAUGUACUUGUUAGAAGUUGCGAAAUUUCAUGGAUCCUCAAGGCAGAAAGAAAGUUCAAACUGACUUUUUGAUGUUUAAAAAUAGGAAUUUGGGAGCGAAUUUUUCACAAAAUAUGCAUCAAGACCAGUUUCACUUGAAAUCAUUAAUAUUUCAACUUUUAAAAACUGCACUAACGCGCCUUGACCUCCAAGCCCCUUAAUUCCACUUCAAUGCAGGAAUACCAGAGAGAAUUUAAAUAAGGCCUUGUUCUUUAUGAUGAUUAAGGGGAAAAGAUUAAC